GCUAGAGCUAGAGAUUUAUCUUCUUGUGUAUAUGGAAAACGAGUUAGAAUCUCAAAAGAUGGCAACUUUUCUGGUCCAUUUGCAUUCAAGAUAUGUUUUCCUCCAGGCUUUAGACCAAACAUGAGUUACCUUGAACAUCUUGAAAGGUGGCAGAAAAUGGAUUUUCCUUCCCCGUACUUGAACGCAAGGAGAUUUGACGCAGCUGAUCCAAAGGCGAGAAAGAG
rnacentral:misc_RNA from 1 species